rnacentral:lncRNA from 10 species
AAUGACGUGGUCAGGAUUUGGUCCUGCUCUUCACCUCGCAGCUCUGCUUCCCUGUGUAGUAGUUUCAUUCUAAGCUAUGCCCUCACCAUGCUCAUGGCCAAGGCCCCAUGUCCUGCUUGGCACUGAGGGUGCAGAAACCCACGGUGGGAGGAUUUUACCAGAGGGAAAAUGGAUUCUGGGACAUUAACAACCUUCUGAAAGAAAAAUUAAAUGGGAAGUUAUCCUCAGAGAAGCGUUACUCCCUCUCACAUCCCUUCCACCCUGUUCACUCUGCUCCCAACCCCUUGGAGCAUGAACGUCCUCACCAGAUGCUGAUGCCAUCCUCUUGAACAUCCCAGUCUCCAGAACUGUGAGCCAAAUAAACUUCUCCUGUUU